rnacentral:rRNA from 1 species
CAGCAGCCGCGGGAACACGUAGGGUGCAAGCGUUAUCCGGAACUAUUGGGCGUAAAGAGCUCGUAGGCGGUUUGUCGCGUCUGCUGUGAAAACUGGAGGCUCAACCUCCAGCCUGCAGUGGGUACGGGCAGACUAGAGUGCGGUAGGGGAGAUUGGAAUUCCUGGUGUAGCGGUGGAAUGCGCAGAUAUCAGGAGGAACACCGAUGGCGAAGGCAGAUCUCUGGGCCGUAACUGACGCUGAGGAGCGAAAGCAUGGGGAGCGAACAGGAUUAGAUACCCCAGUAGUCCCUGUCUCUUAUAC